ACUAUGGUUAAAUAAUGGUUACAGCUAACAAAUAAUUAUAUUCAAUAACACUUAUAAUGACAUAAUAUAAUAUUACUGUUUUGUGUAGAAUUUGUGAGGGUCUCAAAAAGAAUUUAAUUCAUUAUACACUAUAGAAAUUUUGUAUUUUAUUUAUUAUUAUUGAAUCAAAUUAAGUUCAUUAUAAUUUAGAUAAAUUGAUUUACCUAAUUUUAAGAAAAAAAAAUAAGAAAUCUAAGUUAGGAAUAGUAUUUCAUUUGAAUCUGAAUUAGAUUUUAAAAUAUUAUGCCAGGACUGUAAACUGUAAGUAAUCAAUAUUAAGGUUGGGUUAUCUUAAGUAACUAAUAUUAAAAUGAAUAGGAGGUAAGAUUGUAGAGUUUUAACCCAUCAUAUGGUAAUGGAAAUAAUUGUAAGGCUUUGGAAAUUGAGGAUUGGGUUAAAUUUCAAACAAAUAUGAAUAUAAUAUUAUUUAUCUACUGAAGUCUGAAAUUUAAUAAAUUGUUAAUUUAUAUAAAUUUACUAAUUUAAUGUUUUAGUAAGAACACAAUUGAAAAAUUAUUUCUAGUAAUUAUCAAUGUAACACUUUUAUAGUUUAUAUCACUGUAUCAGUCUAAAAACUCUGUUCAAUAAAAUAAUACAAUAUAAUAUUAAAGUGUACAAUAACUGAUGUGCUUUUUGACCA